GACCACGAUCCAACCCUAAAUACUAAUACCAGAUCGAUAGUGCACAAGUACCGUGAGGGAAAGGUGAAAAGAACUGAGGUGAUCAGAGUGAAAUAGAACCUGAAACCAUUUGCUUACAAUCAUUCAGAGCCCUAUGUAGCAAUACAGGGUGAUGGACUGCCUUUUGCAUAAUGAGCCUGCGAGUUGUGGUGUCUGGCAAGGUUAAGCAAACGCGAAGCCGUAGCGAAAGCGAGUCUGAAUAGGGCGCUUAGUCAGAUGCUGCAGACCCGAAACGAAGUGAUCUAUCCAUGAGCAAGUUGAAGCUAGUGUAAGAACUAGUGGAGGACUGAACCCAUAGGCGUUGAAAAGCCCCGGGAUGACUUGUGGAUAGGGGUGAAAGGCCAAUCAAACUUCGUGAUAGCUGGUUCUCUCCGAAAUAUAUUUAGGUAUAGCGUUGUGUCGUAAUAUAAGGGGGUAGAGCACUGAAUGGGCUAGGGCAUACACCAAUGUACCAAACCCUAUCAAACUCCGAAUACCUUAUAUGUAAUCACAGCAGUCAGGCGGCGAGUGAUAAAAUCCGUCGUCAAGAGGGAAACAACCCAGACUACCAGCUAAGGUCCCUAAAUCUUACUUAAGUGGAAAACGAUGUGAAGUUACUUAAACAACCAGGAGGUUGGCUUAGAAGCAGCCAUCCUUUAAAGAAAGCGUAAUAGCUCACUGGUCUAGUGAUUUUGCGCGGAAAAUAUAACGGGGCUAAAGUAAGUACCGAAGCUGUAGACUUGCGCACAACUUAGAUUAUUUAAGUUUAGAAUAUGAGAAACUAAGUUAUAUGUUUAGUUAUAUUUUUACUGAUUUUUAUAGAGUAAAGAUAGAAAUAAAACUUAGUAAAAUCAGUAAAAAUAUUCUUAGACUAAAGUUAAGUAGUUUAAGUUGUGUGCAAGUGGUAGGAGAGCGUUCUAUUUGCGUCGAAGGUAUACCGGUAAGGAGUGCUGGAGCGAAUAGAAGUGAGCAUGCAGGCAUGAGUAGCGAUAAUUAAUGUGAGAAUCAUUAACGCCGUAAACCCAAGGUUUCCUACGCGAUGCUCGUCAUCGUAGGGUUAGUCGGGUCCUAAGUCGAGUCCGAAAGGGGUAGACGAUGGCAAAUUGGUUAAUAUUCCAAUACCAACAUUAGUGUGCGAUGGAAGGACGCUUAGGGCUAAGGGGGCUAGCGGAUGGAAGUGCUAGUCUAAGGUCGUAGGAGGUUAUACAGGCAAAUCCGUAUAACAAUACUCCGAGAACUGAAAGGCUUUUUGAAGUCUUCGGAUGGAUAGAAGAACCCCUGAUGCCGUCGAGCCAAGAAAAGUUUCUAAGUUUAGCUAAUGUUGCCCGUACCGUAAACCGACACAGGUGGGUGGGAUGAGUAUUCUAAGGCGCGUGGAAGAACUCUCUUUAAGGAACUCUGCAAAAUAGCACCGUAUCUUC
rnacentral:rRNA from 1 species